rnacentral:lncRNA from 1 species
ACCAUGUAAAUGGAGAUUUGAUUUGCCAUAACUGCACAGAAACACCUGUACUGUAUCUGUAGAUACUUUUCGCUCGGGCUUUUUUCCUUUUCCUGCGGGUUUGGUUUGGUAGCAGCUAGCCUUGGGUCUUCCACCUGAGCCUCCUUACCUCUCCAGCAAACGGCCUGCUGGGAAAAAAGAGGGUGCCUGGUCCAAGUUCUUGAAAGAGCCUCCAGGAAACCUCAGCUGCUUCCUGUCAAGACGACAGACCUGAGAACGCCAAAGACGGGUGCCAUCUGUCUGCAGUCCCCGAGUCCCUGAGCCAUGUGGGCCGGCCCGGCGCCUGCCAACGUCACUGACCUGCAGCAACCGUCCACACCUCCGUCACACACCUCCUGAUCCGUCUGGGAUAAAUAGCAUCUCCCUCAACUUCUGUGCUGCCGUCGCUGCUUCCCAAUCUGUCCUGUGUUAGAAUGGAAAGAGCACGCGAGGUGACGGAGGGACGGAGAGAAAGAGACAAAUGACAACAAAGAAGUUAUAGAUGGAUGGAACGAAAUAUAAGCAUUUAAAGAGUUGAUCGAUAUAAGCCGGAUUUUACGAUUUUGUCCAACAAUGAUCGGAACUAACUGCUAAAUGACACCCCUCCCCCCCACCAACACCACCACCACCACAUAGGCAGGGGAGGUCACCUUCAUGUGGGCCUGAUGUUGGGGCAGCUGCAUGCUGAAAAAUGAGAUCAGC